AGGAUGAACGCUGGCGGCGUGCUUAACACAUGCAAGUCGAACGAUGAAGGCUGGAGCUUGCUCUGGCUGGAUUAGUGGCGAACGGGUGAGUAACACGUGAGUAACCUGCCCCAGACUCUGGGAUAAGCGCUGGGAAACGGCGUCUAAUACCGGAUACGAGCUUCCACCGCAUGGUGAGGAGCUGGAAAGAAUUU
rnacentral:rRNA from 1 species